rnacentral:rRNA from 1 species
UACGUAGGUGGCGAGCGUUGUCCGGAUUUACUGGGCGUAAAGGGAGCGUAGGCGGACUUUUAAGUGAGAUGUGAAAUACUCGGGCUCAACUUGAGUGCUGCAUUUCAAACUGGAAGUCUAGAGUGCAGGAGAGGAGAAUGGAAUUCCUAGUGUAGCGGUGAAAUGCGUAGAGAUUAGGAAGAACACCAGUGGCGAAGGCGAUUCUCUGGACUGUAACUGACGCUGAGGUUCGAAAGCGUGGGUAGCAAACAGG